UACGUAGGGUGCAAGCGUUAAUCGGAAUUACUGGGCGUAAAGCGUGCGCAGGCGGUUCUUUAAGUCAGUUGUGAAAUCCCCGGGCUCAACCUGGGAACUGCAUCUGUGACUGCAUAGCUAGAGUACGGUAGAGGGGGAUGGAAUUCCGCGUGUAGCAGUGAAAUGCGUAGAUAUGCGGAGGAACACCGAUGGCGAAGGCAAUCCCCUGGACCUGUACUGACGCUCAUGCACGAAAGCGUGGGGAGCAAACAGG
rnacentral:rRNA from 1 species